GGAUUAUCUAGUUGUUUACUUUCUAAUGCAUGUAUCAUGCUAGAGUCACCUCAAUCUCGGCCAAUAUAAAUAGUCCCAGAAGUUGGUAUAAUCAGUGUUCCUUUGUCUGUAUAUAUGUAUAUGUGUUUUGGUGAUAUAAAUGCAUAUGUAUAGUUACACUUGUUGGUGCUAUGUCAAGUAGAAUAUUUGAUGUAGAAGCAACACGUCAGACAUGAAUCGUUAUUUUAUGGAUGUGAGGAAAUUUUAUGUUGCUUUUAUUUACCCAACGAUUUUAAAAGGGUGAUUAAGA
rnacentral:misc_RNA from 1 species